rnacentral:rRNA from 1 species
AGCAGUAGCCGCGGGAACACGGAGGGUGCAAGCGUUGUCCGGAUUUAUUGGGUUUAAAGGGUGCGUAGGCGGCUAUUUAAGUCAGCGGUGAAAGACUCCGGCUCAACCGGAGCAGUGCCAUUGAUACUGGAUAGCUUGAGUGUUGGAGGGGUACAUGGAAUUGAUGGUGUAGCGGUGAAAUGCAUAGAUACCAUCAGGAACACCGAUAGCGAAGGCAUUGUACUGGCCAACAACUGACGCUGAGGCACGAAAGCAUGGGGAGCGAACAGGAUUAGAUACCCCUGUAGUCCCUGUCUCUUAUAA